AAUUUUAAUAUCUCACUUUUAUAAUGUAGUUUAACAAAUGCAUCACGUGGUAACUGAUUUAUGGUAAACAUCAAUAUCUUGCAAUAAGAAGUUUCACAUACACUGGUUUACAGAUAAAUUGUUUAAAUUAAAACAUACAUUUUGGAAGUAUUUGCCAUUAGUCUUAGAUGACAUACGGUGUGCGCGAAUAAUCAUGAAAAUAAUGAUCAUUUGUUUAUAACAUAAAAUUAAAGUUAACGAUGUGAGUAGGAGAAGUGCUACAUUAUUAACGAGUUUAGGAGUUCUGCAAUAUGUUGGCAACAUAUGCUGCUGUCAACGCACCCUUUUGGGGCAAUAUGUCACUGGCAGUGGCUGGGUGGAGUCCUGUUAUUCAGCUCUCCGUGUUCCCGUUGGGAAAAGAUACUCAGCGAGGCGCUUAUGGUGCACUCUAGUGGAGAAAAACAGUAGUAAAAUAAACGCCGUAGAUACUGUAGCGCAAGAUUGCAGAAAGGCCUCUGCUUGCUGAACACCGACAAGAACAAUUUGGCAGGUUUGUCACCAUACUAUAAGGUACUUCUGUAAGCCAUUUAAAGGAUUGAUAGUUGCCGGGGUGGGUCCUAUUUGGGUGAUUUGCAUGGUGGCAAAGUGAGGACAGCUGUUGUAUGCUGAUUGUGACCCACUCCCCUACUCCACAUUAUCGGGAGGAUCCUGGCCUGGGGUCACCAAAAGGUCAACACACGUCAUAGGAAGACACUGGCCAUUGGUGAAUCUGGCUGUUUGGCAGCUUCCUCUGUGCCCCCCCCCUCCCCUCUGGUGGUGGCCCAGUGUCAAGAAUGAGGGUGUGGGUGAGCUGGCAUCAAGCAACUACUGUGCUGCCUUUGUACAUUGUGCUUCUUAGCAUACAGCGAAUUGUAAAAAUGCUUAGUGUCAUGCUACGUAUUAAUCUUUAGUGCCACAGUGAGCUUAAAAAGAGCCACAGCUGAAUGGCGAUGAUCAUUUCCCUCUAUCCCGUCAAUGCAUUCUGCAGUUUUAUCAGUGCAUUCAGUGUUGUCAGGUUUAGUGGGCGUAGCAGAGCAUGGACCAGUGGUUGCUGAACUGCGCUUGUCAGCAGAAGCAGCACCUUAGGAGGUAAUCAGCCGGGUGAAUACAUUAAAGUCAGGAAAGCUUAGUACAGGCAUGUCCUGCAUUACAGCAUGUGGGUCAGCGAUGGACUGCAAAUGCAAUGGGGCUUCCAUAAGAUUUUAAUGGAGGUGAAAAAUUCCUAUUCCCUAGCGAAGUCAUAGCCAUUGUAAUGUAGUAGUGCAACGCAAUUCUCACGUGUUAGUGAUGAUGCUGGUGUAAACAAACCUACUGCCAACUGCAUUGAAGUACAGCACAUACAAUUAUGUACAGUACAUAAUACUUGAUAGUGAUGAUAAAUUUUAUUGGUUUAUAUAUGUACUACACUGUACUUUAAAAUGUUUUUUUUUAGAGUUCACUGUUUCUACUUACUAAAAACUUUACUGUAGUUUAGAAGUGUAGGCUAUAUUAUCUUGGUUUGUGUAAAUACACUCACUCUACGAUGUUCGCACAAGAAUGAAAUCACCCGACAACGCAUUUCUCAGAACGCAUCCCCAUUGGUAGACGAUGCUUGACUCUAAUUUUUCUUUUUUGUUCAAAUAAUGGUUUUCGAAUAAAGGCUGAUUGGUUUUCCUAAUCGAUGUUUGUAACCACAGUUUAUGCCAUGUCUAGUUUAGGGCAAAGGGUGGUGGAUUGAUAAAUGACCGAAUGUGUUUACCCAUCCAUCUUUCAGCCACUUACCCAGUACAAGGUCACGGGCGCAAGGCAAGGGAACACCUUGGAUGGAAUGCCUGUCCAUUGCAGGGCGCACACACUCAUUACGGGCAAUUUAGAAAGACUAAUUCAUCUAACUGCAUGUUGGCUACGGGAGGAACCCGGAGUAGCCUGAGGUAAACUGAGGUAAUCUUCACAACGUAAGGAGAACAUACAAGCUCCACAGAUACACCAAGUGAGCACGGGAUUUAAACCCCCAGCAAACACAAUACUGUUACCGUAUUAUAUGCAGUGCUUCUUAAUUAUAUCCCUGUGUAAAUAUGAAUUGCAUUGAUAAUUUAUUGGCACAAAGAUAUGUUGGUUGAGGACUUUGUGGCGAUAAACUCAGUACAAAUAACACCUGGGACCUGGCCUCUCUUUUCUAUUCAUGCAUACUUCAUCCGCAAUUGUACAUUUGCGAGAAAUGGUGCUUUCACUAAACGUCCCCUUUAAGAUCGCCCUUACUUAGGUUUCUUUUAAAAGCUCCAUCCCUCUUGAGGUUGUUGCCAUUACAUGGAGAAAGGAACCUUGUUCUGAGCCCGCUUCUACUAGCUAUGCACUCGUCGGCAGACAGAGCCUUCUGUGAGAGGCUGCAUUAUGUACUCGUUGAUGGUACGUAUGUGGGCUGCUAGGGCCGUGCUUGGUGGCCAGGUGCUCUUUAUCAAGUGUAGUAGCGUUGAGGUCGGUGGGGAGAGGAGGGGUCAGGCAGAGUAAGUCACAGGAGUGAACUCCCAGUGGGGAUGAGCCGGUCUGCAUCUGGGUUCCCUUUUGUUCCUGCAGAAUACACUUGUUUCUUAGAUGUACGCUGCGCAGACUGUGAAGUACAAAUUAAUUAAUGGUAAAUUAAUGUUAAGCAGUGCAGUGUUUUCACACUGUGGCUUGCAGUGUUCAGUGAUCGGAAGACCGCUCAGUAGUAAAGCAGAGUAAUGUAGCGAUAAUAAAUGUCAACUGUCAAGUAUGCUUUGUGUUUCUCCAAGCCCCCCAAUUGAUGUACAGCACGUAAAUAUUAAAGACUGCAAAUAUAUUCAUUCAACAAGGAGCAUGGCUUAUUGAUCAACAGCAUUAUGCUGUCAUUUGUGCUAAAUGAUGCUGGAACGAUUUCUAUAAUUAUUGCGAUAAUAAAUCCUGUGUUUCAAUGAAAUGUGUUUAGAAUGACAGAAGUAAACACAUUUAUGAAUUGCAGAAAUAUGAACAACAUUAAGCAUAAACUAGAAGAUCCGGCCAUUAUCUUUUUAAAUAACCAUGUUCAUUUUAGGAUAAGAAAGAUAUUAAUAAGUGGAAACAAACUGUACUGUUAGCCAAAAAUACAGACUAUGAAAUGCAAUCCUUAGACCUCUUGACUGGUAAAUUGAUGGACUGCAGUAGUACUUUGUGCCCAGUGGGGGCAGUCAUGCUCAAGCCUUUUCGUGGCCUAAAUCAGGAGGUCCAAAUCCUAGCCCAGAAGGGCUGGUGCCUACGCAGGAUUUCAUUCCCCCUAAGCACUUAAGCACUCGAUUGAACUAAUUAUUUGCCUAAUUUAACUAAUUUACCAUCCUCUCUCAGACCUGCAGUUGUUGACAGUUUAAAAGUGAGCUAAAAAUCCUGUCUGUACACAGGCCUGUUAGGGGCAACGUUAGGGACAUGCACUCUCAUUAAUCUGAAUUGUUCCAGUAAAAUAUCCAGGUGUAUUAAUAAUUAAAUAUUGUAAGUUGUUUUGGCAGAAUCACUUUGCUUAAAUUUUCCUACAAUGUCCAGGCACUAUUCUUCUAUUAAUACACCUGGGAGGGAAAUAUUUGGCUGUGUUCAUGCUGCAUUUUCAGCUCUUAAAUUUCUUUUUUUCAUUUUAAUAUGACUGAUGAUAGAUUGUAAAGUUAACGACUCUGGACUGGUCAUUUUCAAAGAUACACUGAAGAUAGAUUACCGGUCAUAUAUAGUAUGGAGUAAUAUAUGUAAGUUUCUUGGUUUGUACAUAAUUCAAUUUAUGUGCCUUUUCUUUAGAAUAAGGCAAUAUUUAUAAACCACUACAGUUUUUCAAGAGGUAUAGAAUGAAUCAACUAAAAAUUGUGGAAAAUUAGACAUUUUGCAUUCAACUAAUAUGUUGAACAGUGUAAUAGGGGUCAGUUUAAAGGGCUCGUAUUUGUUGAGUUACGCUUUGUUAAUGUCAGAAUGUAUUUGUUUAAUUGUCUUUAUUCCUUAUGCAACACGCCGUGGUUUGGGUCACCCUAAUUUUACCAUUGCAGGUACCCACAGGCUGUUCCUGUUCAGACCUGUUCUGGACCCUCUCCUGACCCUUAGCUGCUUAAUUUAGUACAGAGAAGAUCUAAAAUACACAGCACCAAAUUAUCCCGAUGUUCAAAAAGAGGAGUAACACAAUUGCACGUAUGAUUCUAAUCCAGUAGAGGUCUCUGUAACAUAAUUUUAGCCACUUAGAACCACACUGAGUGGAAGGUGGUAUAUUGGACCAGAGAACCAUAACUUAAUAUCUUAAUUGUGAGAUACAAUAUAUAAAAAUGUAAAAAUAUUGAGAUGACCUAGAUACACAAAAACUGAUAUUAGUUAUUGAAUGAUUAAUGUUCUUUAAGCUGCGUAUGUUACAAUUUGCAUUCUUAUAACUGUAAAUGGUUUAUAAACAGAAGAGUCAGUGAUAUUCUAGCAGUAAUGGAAAAAAUACAGCUAAUAAAAUCUAUGUAGAUGCAUAUGAAGGAAUGGUUUUUGGUGGGUUAGAGAGUUAGACUCUUAGUUAACUCACAGAUAUUCAGUAUAAGGAUUUGGAUCUGUCCCCUGGUCUGUGUGGGGUUGUCA